AACGAACGCUGGCGGCAUGCCUAACACAUGCAAGUCGAGGGGUAGCAGGAUUAAGCUUGCUUAAUUGCUGACGACCGGCGCACGGGUGCGUAACGCGUAUGCAACCUACCUUAUACUGGGGUAUAGCCCGGAGAAAUUCGGAUUAAUCCCCCAUAGUACUAAUGAAUCGCAUGGUUUAUUAGUUAAAGCAUUGCGGUAUAAGAUGGGCAUGCGUCCUAUUAGCUAGAUGGUGAGGUAACGGCUCACCAUGGCUACGAUAGGUAGGGGGCCUGAGAGGGUGGUCCCCCACACUGGUACUGAGACACGGACCAGACUCCUACGGGAGGCAGCAGUGAGGAAUAUUGGUCAAUGGGCGCAAGCCUGAACCAGCCAUGCCGCGUGCAGGAAGAAUGCCCUAUGGGUUGUAAACUGCUUUUAUUGGGAAUAAACCUCUUUACGUGUAGAGAGCUGAAGGUACCAAAUGAAUAAGCACCGGCUAACUCCGUGCCAGCAGCCGCGGUAA
rnacentral:rRNA from 1 species